rnacentral:ncRNA from 1 species
UCAGAUAAAGCCAAACCCAUUGUGAAGUGGGGACGGAAAGCCACGGGUCUUAAAAAUUAAGAUAGCCGGGUUGCCUACA